GUACAUAUUUGUAUGUUGACAUUUGCCUGUGAAAAAAGGUGAAUAACGAUGAACCAGCUGAGUCAUCCCAACAUCCUCCAGCUCUACGAGGUCUUUGAGGCCAAGCACCAGCUGGUGUUAAUUCUGGAAUAUGUUGAGGGUGGAGAGCUGUUUGAAAGGAUCGUGGAUGAGAGUGCACUGCUGACCGAGGUGGAUGCCAUGGUGUUUGCCAAGCGGAUCUGUGAAAGGGUCAGCUACAUGCAUCAGUUGUACGUCCUCCACCUCGACCUGAAAGUGAGUAUGGUGGACUCGAUAUGCAUCGUCUCAAACCAGAUUUUAAGGCCCACCACCAACUGUCACAAAUGACAAGACACAUUUUAAUCACCACUUGAAGCACUGCGUGGUCACUCACCAUGAAUCAAAGAGGCACUCAUGCAUGUGUCGGUGUCAUGAAAAGUAAUCAAUGGUUCUUUUAUCCACUCCAAUGUUUACAACCGGAGAAUAUCCUUUGUGUGAAUCACACUGGCCAUCAGGUGAAGAUUAUCGACUUUGGGCUGGUCAGAAGAGGACGAAUAAGUGCUGCACAGUGUCUAAGACGCCCGUGGCGCAACAACAUUGCAGAGAAGGCUAAGGGCAGCAAUAUAGUACUGAAGUCCCAGGUCCUACUGAAGAAAUACCUGGCGAAGAGACUAUGGAAGAUCAUCAGUUCAACAGAUUUCCUACACCACACAUGGUACUCUGGUUCAUUUUGUGGUUAGAAGAUAUAUUGUUUACAUUACAGCAGUUUUAUCAUCUUUGCACUGCAAUCAACUUCAUGUAAAUUGAUUCGGGUCUACCAGUUGAUGAGAUGCAACGAAGCUUCCUGCCUUGCUCACUGUAUGUUGUAAAUGUGCUUCUGACCUCUUCCGUUGGACUGCAUUCCUGUAAAGACUUCCCUCACAAUCAGUCAGAAGAUCCUCAUCUUGGUCUGUCUGUGUAAAAUAAACUGGUGUGUGAUUAAAUAGUGGCUACGCUACAUCAUUUGACUCGUAAAAUGUACAUAAAUGUUCUUUAAUAUUUGUACCUUUUCGUGUGGAAAUGUAUGGAAGC